ACGAACGCUGGCGGCGUGCCUAAUACAUGCAAGUAGAACGCUGAAGGAGGAGCUUGCUUCUCUGGAUGAGUUGCGAACGGGUGAGUAACGCGUAGGUAACCUGCCUGGUAGCGGGGGAUAACUAUUGGAAACGAUAGCUAAUACCGCAUAAGAGUAGAUGUUGCAUGACAUUUACUUAAAAGGUGCAAUUGCAUCACUACCAGAUGGACCUGCGUUGUAUUAGCUAGUUGGUGAGGUAACGGCUCACCAAGGCAACGAUACAUAGCCGACCUGAGAGGGUGAUCGGCCACACUGGGACUGAGACACGGCCCAGACUCCUACGGGAGGCAGCAGUAGGGAAUCUUCGGCAAUGGACGGAAGUCUGACCGAGCAACGCCGCGUGAGUGAAGAAGGGUUUCGGAUCGUAAAGCUCUGUUGUAAGAGAAGAACGAGUGUGAGAGUGGAAAGUUCACACUGUGACGGUAGCUUACCAGAAAGGGACGGCUAACUACGUG
rnacentral:rRNA from 1 species